GGCUUCGUAGCUCAGCUUGUCGCGUUUAGGCAUGGUGUUUCUGUCGCUGGUUCGAAUCCAGCCGAAGCCC